CGGGUACCUACAUAUAAUAAUAUCAAAGAAGAAAAAGAAAAAGAAAAAGGAAAAAGGAAAAAAAAAUAAGAAAAAGGAAACAAGAAUAGCAACACUUACAGUAUAUCAUGGCCAAGGUGAGUAUGUUCCUCGGCUUCUUCUUAUUUGUCUUGAUUGUCAUGCCAACCCCCUCUUUUUCGAGCAGAAUGAUACUGGAGGAGGAUCUGGGAGUAGUAACCAAGUGCCCAAAGUUUAAGUGCCUACAAAUUGUGUGCCCCAAACCAAUAAAAGUGUGCCCACAAAUUAAAUGCAGAUUUGGCUCUUACACGCCGUGCUGUGGCUGCCCAAGAGGUUGUGCUUCUGUUAAUUGAAUUACCUAUCGAAUCCUGGUUGUACCACAUACUGGCCAUGUUUUUUUUUUUUUUGCUAGGGGUUAGUUCUACAUACAUAUGUGUACCUCGUUUUGCUUGGAUAGUAUUGCGUCUUUCUCCUCUUAUUUUCAUGUAGCCGCUUAUAUGUACCUAUGUUUGUAUUAGGGUAUUAAUUGCAUUUUCGAUGUAAUAAAGCGUAUGCGGUUGUGUUUAUAUUUGUAUGACAGAAUGGUGUUUGUUUUCCAAGAUUUCUUUAUAUUUGUAUGACAGAAUGGUGUUUGUUUUCCAA